CGCUGGCGGCAGGCCUAACACAUGCAAGUCGAGCGGUAACAGAAUUAGCUUGCUAAUUUGCUGACGAGCGGCGGCGGGUGAGCAAUGCCUGGGAAUAUGCCUUAGUGUGGGGGAUAACUAUUGGAAACGAUAGCUAAUACCGCAUAACGUCUUCGGACCAAAGAGGGGGACCUUCGGGCCUCUCGCGCUAAGAUUAGCCCAGGUGGGAUUAGCUAGUUGGUGAGGUAAAGGCUCACCAAGGCAACGAUCCCUAGCUGGUCUGAGAGGAUGAUCAGCCACACUGGAACUGAGACACGGUCCAGACUCCUACGGGAGGCAGCAGUGGGGAAUAUUGCACAAUGGGGGAAACCCUGAUGCAGCCAUGCCGCGUGUAUGAAGAAGGCCUUCGGGUUGUAAAGUACUUUCAGUCGUGAGGAAGGGUAUGUAGUUAAUAGCUGCAUGCCUUGACGUUAGCGACAGAAGAAGCACCGGCUAACUCCGUGCCAGCAGCCGCGGUAAUACGGAGGGUGCGAGCGUUAAUCGGAAUUACUGGGCGUAAAGCGCAUGCAGGCGGUCUGUUAAGCAAGAUGUGAAAGCCCGGGGCUCAACCUCGGAACCGCAUUUUGAACUGGCAGACUAGAGUCUUGUAGAGGGGGGUAGAAUUUCAGGUGUAGCGGUGAAAUGCGUACAGAUCUGAAGGAAUACCGGUGGCGAAGGCGGCCCCCUGGACAAAGACUGACGCUCAGAUGCGAAAGCGUGGGGAGCAAACAGGAUUAGAUACCCUGGUAGUCCACGCCCGUAAACGAUGUCUACUUGAAGGUUGUGGCCUUGACCGUGGCUUUCGGAGCUAACGCUUAAUGACCGCCUGGGGAGUACGGUCGCAAGAUAAAACUCAAAUGAAGUUGAGACG
rnacentral:rRNA from 1 species